CUGACAUCUCCCUCAGUAUGACAGACAAACUCUCCUUCCUGCUGCUGUCUCUCUGUCUGCCCUGUCUGAGUGGCCAGACUCUGGAGUCCAUUCCCUCCAGUCCAAUACUGAAACAGCCAGGAGAAACUCUCAGUCUGUCCUGUAAGGGAGCUGGGUUUACUUUCAGUAGCUAUCACAUGCACUGGAUAAGACAACCAACAGGAAAAGCAUUGGACUGGAUGGGAGUUAUCUGGUAUGAUGCUAGCAAAACCAUCUAUGAAAAAAGUGUUGAAGGAAGAAUAGAGAUCACCAGAGAUAACUCCAACAGCAUGGUGUAUCUGAAGCUGUCUGGCCUACAAGCUGAGGACUCUGCUGUGUACUACUGUGCUAGAGACUCACAGUGAUGUGUGAGAGUGGAGGAGCUGCACAUAAACACUGACAGAUUCUAACAGUAGAACCUUCAGAGGGCAGCAUAGUAUCAGUCAAGUACUAAAACACAAACACACACGUUUGUCCCUGCGUCUACGGAACACAUUCCCCAGAGGUUCAAAACAACUGUCAGUCCUUAACAAAAGAUACAUACAGUAUGUAGGUUCACAUUUCCUCAAACUAGUGGGGAGAAGCCUUUCUGUUACACAGACAAUUAUUCACCUUCGUAGGAUAUUUUCUUUCAUUGCUCUUUCACCAAUGUAUAGA